AGAGUUUGAUCAUGGCUCAGAUUGAACGCUGGCGGCAUGCCUUACACAUGCAAGUCGAACGGUAACGGGCCUUCGGGUGCCGACGAGUGGCGAACGGGUGAGUAAUGCAUCGGAACGUACCUUUCAGUGGGGGAUAACGUAGCGAAAGUUACGCUAAUACCGCAUAUUCUGUGAGCAGGAAAGCAGGGGAUCGCAAGACCUUGCGCUGAUUGAGCGGCCGAUGUCAGAUUAGCUAGUUGGUGAGGUAAAGGCUCACCAAGGCGACGAUCUGUAGCGGGUCUGAGAGGAUGAUCCGCCACACUGGAACUGAGACACGGUCCAGACUCCUACGGGAGGCAGCAGUGGGGAAUUUUGGACAAUGGGGCAACCCUGAUCCAGCCAUGCCGCGUGAGUGAAGAAGGCCUUCGGGUUGUAAAGCUCUUUCGGCCGGGAAGAAAUCGCAUGGGUUAAUACCCUGUGCGGAUGACGGUACCGGCAUAAGAAGCACCGGCUAACUACGUG
rnacentral:rRNA from 1 species